CCUACGGGGGACAGCAGUGGGGGAUAUUGCACAAUGGGGGAAACCCUAAUGCAGCGACGCCGCGUGGGUGAAGAAGCGCCUCGGCGCGUAAAGCCCUGUCAGCAGGGAAGAAAAUGACGGUCCCUGAAGAAGAAGCCCCGGCUAACUACGUCCCAGCAGCCGCGGUAAUACGUAGGGUGCAAGCGUUAUCCGGAUUUACUGGGUGUAAAGGGGGCGCAGACGGCGAUGCAAGCCAGGCGUGAAAGCCCGGGGCCCAACCCCGGGACUGCUCUUGGAACUGCGUGGCUAGAGUGCAGGAGGGGCAGGCGGAAUUCCUGGUGUAGCGGUGAAAUGCGUAGAUAUCAGGAGGAACACCGGUGGCGAAGGCGGCCUGCUGGACUGCAACUGACGUUGAGGCCCGAAAGCGUGGGGAGCAAACAGGAUUAGAUACCCUUGUAGUC
rnacentral:rRNA from 1 species